AAAUGGUUGCCACAAUUCCUAAGGUUUGAGACCUUCUAAAGUGCUCUAACCAGAUCAAGCUUCAUCAACUUCUGAUUACCAUUUGGACAAGGUAGUUUUGAGCAUCAUUUGAACUCAAACAAGUCACCACAACGUAGUCCUUGACUCUGAUGCUUUCCCCUAAUUUAUCUGGUGUUGAUUGAUCGUUUUCAUCAUUUAAUUUAAUUUUUCGUGCCUUGUUUGUUUUUGAAACUUCUUUGAAAUUCCCUUUGCUCAAUUU
rnacentral:lncRNA from 1 species